GAUGAAGAACGCAGUGAAAUGCGAUAAGUAAUGUGAAUUGCAGAAUUCAGUGAAUCAUCGAAUCUUUGAACGCACAUUGCGCCCCUUGGUAUCCCGAGGGGCAUGCCUGUUCGAGCGUCGUUUCACCACUCAAGCCUGGCUUGGUGUUGGGCGACGUCCUCUUUGGGGACGCGCCUCGAAACGCUCGGCGGCGUGGCACCGGCUUUAAGCGUAGCAGAAUCUUUCGCUUUGGAAGUCGGGGCCCCGUCUGCCGGAAGACCUGCUCGCAAGGUUGACCUCGGAUCAGGCAGGGAUACCCGCUGAACUUAAGCAUAUCAAUAAGCGGAGGA
rnacentral:misc_RNA from 1 species